rnacentral:rRNA from 1 species
GACGAACGCUGGCGGCGUGCUUAACACAUGCAAGUGGUGCGACGAACCAGGGCUUGCCCUGGGGCAAAGCCGCGAACGGGUGAGUAACACGUGAGUAAUCUGCCCCGAUGACCGGGACAACCCGAGGAAACUCGGGCUAAUACCGGAUGUGGUGCCUAGGCUUAAGCCUUUGCACUAAAAGAAGCUUCGGCCUUCGCAUUGGGACGAGCUCGCGGCCCAUUAGCUUGUUGGUGGGGUAACGGCCUACCAAGGCAACGAAGGGUAGCUGGUCUGAGAGGACGAUCAGCCACACUGGGACUGAGACACGGCCCAGACUCCUACGGGAGGCAGCAGUGGGGAAUCUUGCGCAAUGCGCGAAAGCGUGACGCAGCAACGCCGCGUGGGGGAAGACGGCCUUCGGGUUGUAAACCCCUUUCAGGAGGGACGAAGGUUCGCCGGUGAAUAGCCGUGCGGAUUGACGGUACCUCCACAAGAAGCUCCGGCUAACUACGUGCCAGCCGCCGCGGUAAAAC